rnacentral:rRNA from 1 species
CGGACGGGUGAGUAACACGUGGAUAACCUACCUAUAAGACUGGGAUAACUUCGGGAAACCGGAGCUAAUACCGGAUAAUAUUUUGAACCGCAUGGUUCAAAAGUGAAAGACGGUCUUGCUGUCACUUAUAGAUGGAUCCGCGCUGCAUUAGCUAGUUGGUAAGGUAACGGCUUACCAAGGCAACGAUGCAUAGCCGACCUGAGAGGGUGAUCGGCCACACUGGAACUGAGACCCGGUCCAG